rnacentral:rRNA from 1 species
AUGGGCGAACCCGCCAGGAGAAGUCCUGGCACCCUCAGGGUGAACACAUAGCCCUGAGGGGGACAACCCGGGGAACUGAAACAUCUAAGUACCCGGAGGAGAAGAAAUCAACACAGAGAUUCCCCGAGUAGCGGCGAGCGAAAGGGGACCGAGGCCAAACCGGCGAGCGGGCGGGCGCCAGCCCUUACCGCCGCCGGGGUUGCAGGGCCCCCCGCCCGGGAGCUGGCGCUCCCGGCGGGCAUCCAUCCAGGGGAGCCGAACGGCAUGGGAAGGCCGGCGGCACAGGGUUAGGGCCCCGUAGGCGCACCCUGGGAUGGAGCCCGGUGGGGGUCCCUGAGUAGGGCCGGGCACGUGAAACCCGGUCCGAACCCGGGGGGACCACCCUCCAAGCCUGAAUACUCCCAUGUGACCGAUAGCGCACCAGUACCGUGAGGGAAAGGUGAAAAGCACCCCGGGAGGGGAGUGAAACAGUACCUGAAACCGUGCGCCCGCAAGGCGUCGGAGCACCUUUUUGGUGUGACGGCGUGCCUUUUGUAGAAUGAGCCAGCGAGUUGCUGGCGCGUCGGCGAGGUUAAGCUGGAAGCGAGCCGGAGCGAAAGCGAGUCCGAAACGGGCGAUGUGAGUCGGCGCCGCAGACGCGAAGCCGGGUGAGCUAUCCCUGGGCAGGCUGAAGCGGGGGUAAGACCCCGUGGAGGGCCGAACGCACGUCGGUUGAAAACGGCGGCGAUGACCUGCGGGUAGGGGUGAAAGGCCUAUCAAACCCGGAGAUAUCUCGUUCUCCCCGAAAUAGCUUUAGGGCUAGCGUCGCGCGUUAACCCCGGGAGGUAGAGCACCGGAUCGAUGA